AUACGAACCGGACAAACGUUAUUCGGAAUUAUUGGGCUUAAAGGGUGCGUAGGCGGCGAUGUAGGUGGGGUGUGAAAUCCCUCGGCUCAACCGAGGAACUGCGCCCCAAACCCCAUCGCUAGAGGGAGACAGAGGUAAGCGGAACUGAUGGUGGAGCGGUGAAAUGCGUUGAUAUCAUCAGGAACACCAGUGGCGAAAGCGGCUUACUGGGUCUCUUCUGACGCUGAGGCACGAAAGCUAGGGUAGCGAACGGGAUUAGAUACCCCGGUAGUCC
rnacentral:rRNA from 1 species